UUCCGGUGACAGUGAACAUCAGAUUGACAGUUUUUCUAAUUGACAUACACAAGGUCAAACUAUUAAUGUAUAUCUUGGUAGACUUGAACCAGACACUUUAUCAACGCUGUCUCAACCGAGACAAAAAUGGAUGUUUACCAGGAAGCGGUGAUCCAAGAGUCUCUGGAAGGAAUAUGGCAGCCACGCCACUAAUGAUGGGAGCUCCUCCAUAGAUCAAACCAGGCAACCAAGGUUCUGUAUGGCCUGGUCAUGCCUGUUGCUGAUGACCAGCCAUCUUGAAGAUUCAUGAAACCACCUGUAUGAAAAUUUUUUUCUCACCAUGCAUAAAUAAAGAAGAAGUAGAAGGGAGAAGACACAGCCAAUGUCAACCACCUCCAGUCCCGGACAAAGUAAGCGAUGAGUGCCAGGAUUAACUGUCCCAGCGUGUAACAGUAACCGCCAAACUUACUGAGUGAGAAUGUGUUGAGCCCCACGCCCGACAGCGCCAUACCGCAACCAAAGCGGCACAGACAGAAGAUGGGGAAGGAUGUGGAGAAAGCGGCGCACGUCCCAGACACUGCCAUCAGCAGGCACUUACCUGCGGAAUAGGAGGAACGCUGUCUCUCAGGAUCCAACUUGAAAGCCACUCAAAGCAUCAAGUAAAAUAUUUGAAAAGGCCAAAACAAUCAAAAGCAGGAAGGGUAAAGUUGUUGCUGCAUUUCAUGCAAACAAUCACUCCAAAUCCAGCGCUUUUUUUUUUACUCCUGAACUUUGGAUUAUUGGCAUGGAGGGGGGUGCACAAGGAAUUAGCCUCUCACUCUCAUAGCUAACUCACUAAAGUAUAAGGCAGAGGCUUAUGACUUAGGGAGCAAAAAGAGGUCCAGCAGCAAAGUGGGCAGAUACUGUACUUUAGUUUGUCUCUUUACCACUCCCAUUCCUAAUUGGUUACUACAUUUGUGUGUGUGCCCACUGGUUAGAAUUUUACAACUCAAUAUUCAUCAUCAUUUAGAUGCCCCUUUAGUAAUGUAAUAUUUUAAUAGGAAAAGCAAGUGUGGCAGUUCUCACUUUCAAAGAUGACUGAGGGCUAUCAGAGGAAACUGGUUCCUUAACAUGGCAGAUACAAUAAAUACCCCAUUUUUUUUU